GUGUUCAGAAUGUUCCUAACGAAAAUAACUGCAACUGUUGAUCGUACUUCCUAUGGGUCAUUGGGAUUUUCCCUCGCAGAUAUUUAUUGGGUCAUUCAUUUGUUCAUUUUGCUUUAACUCAACAUCUCCAUGCUAAGGUGCAGUGCUGGCAUUGGUCUGUGUGUUAAUGAUGUUCUUCUUGUCUUCAGAGGUGAGAAUGUGGCCUCUCUCUGAGAUGCCCUUUGCCCCUGAGCUCCCCAGAGGGGAACAGCUUGCCUUGUAUUGAGUCCAGAUCCUGGGAACAGUUUUCAUUUAGGAAUGGCGCGUCCAUCGCGCAAGUCUAUAAUGCCACCUCGUGGCAGCAAGGAGAGAUCACAACGUGGGCUGAGCGAGUUGCUUCCUGCUUGGGGUUGGAAGCUGGACUGGCCGAGUUCCCUGGGUUUUUGAAUGAUGGGGAGUCACUGUCACUUCUUAUGGAUGAAGAAAGGAAGUGGUUUCUUGAGAUGGAAUCUACCUCUGGUGAAGAUGCUAUGAACAUUGUUGAAAUGACAACAAAAGAUUUAGGAUAUAACAUAAACUAAGUUGAUAAAGCAGUGGCUGGAUUUGAGAAGAUUGACACCAAUUUGAAAUCAGUUCUACUGUGGAUAAAAGGCUAUCAAAUAGCAUCACAUACUACAAAUAAAUUCUUCAUAAAAGGAAGAAUCAACUGACGAAGGAAACUUGUCUUAUUUUAAGAAGUUGCCACAGCCACUCCAGCCUUCAGCAACCACCGUCUUGAUUCGUCAGCAGCCAUCAACAUGGAGGUGAGCCAUUCCACCAACAAAAUGAUUAUGACUCACUGAGGCUCAGAUGGCUGCCAUCAUUUUUUAGUGAUAACGUGUUAUAAUUAGGGUAUGUACAUGUUUAAGACAUAAUGCACACUUAAUACACUGCAGUAUAGUAUAUAAUUAUUACAUGCAUAGGGCUGCUAAAACUUUGUGUAAUUUGCAUUAUUGUGGUAUUUGCUUUAUUGUGGCGGUUUGGAACCUACCCCACAAUAUCUCUGAGGUAUGUCUGUAUAUUGCUGGCGGGAAUGUAAAAUUGCACAGUAGCUUUGCAAAACAGUUUGGCAAUUCUUUAAAAAAUUCAAUAUAGAGUUAUACCAUAUGACCCACCAAUACUACUCAUUGGUAUAUACCCAUGAUAAGUUCAAGAAAACAUACAUAUAUUUAUACAUGUGUGCUGAUCGCAGCAUUAUUCAUAAUAGACAAAAGAUGGAAAAAAGACAAAUGUCUGUCAAUUGAUGAAUGAACAAAAUAGAUAUAUGCAAACACAUUAUUAUGAAUAUUAUACAGCCAAAAGAGGAAAUAAAGCCUGAUAAAUGCUACCUGAAACCAUCAAGAAUGAACUUUUUUUUUAAAUUAUCUUAUAGUUUAUUGAAAAUUAUUUAAACUGCUAAGGUAUUUUAAUAAGAGUACUGGUUGAAUUUAAAUCAAGAAUAAAAUAAAUAUCCAUCCUGUUGUAUGUUAGGUGUGUUUGCCCUGAAGGGCUUGUAGUCUUCAUUCUCAUGGCCCAAGACCAGAGUUUCUCUGCUAUCAGAAAUAUUGAUCUGCUGCAUAUAGAUUUUAUUUUAGUACAAAAUGGGUAUAUACAUCCAUAGUCUUACAUACAAUCCAAAUAUGUUUUCAAUGCAGCAACUAUAAUCAAUUAAAAGAAUUUUGCUUUCAGGA
ensembl:lncRNA